GUUUGAAAUGUGUGCAGCAUGGCGUGUGCACAGCGAUCUGCUAAAGAGUACCUCAGAAACAACAGGAAAGACCUGGUGACUGGCAUGAAAAACCUUCCUCUGAUCAUUGAGAAUCUUUAUCAGAAGAAGGUUUUCAAUGACUAUGAGGUCAAAGAUCUCAAAGCCGAGAGGACAGAGUAUGAUCAAGCCAGAUGUAUAUUGGAUUGGGUCGUUAACAAAGGAGAUGAGGCCAGUUAUGAAUUACUCAAGAUUCUGGAUGUCACUAAGAAGAGGACAUUAGAUCCUGGUUUACACCACUGGAUCAGCUGUUCUCCCUUCAGAGAUGAAGACGCAGAGCCCAGCUAUUCAUUUGGUACAAAGCCUUGUAAAAACUACCAGAAACAGCUCAAGGACAAAGCAAAGGAGAAAUGUUUCUUUAAAUAUCUGUUGAAGACACAAGGAAACUUCAGUUUCAUACCUCUUGUUUUAGAGACCGACUCUGAGGUAAAAUCACCUCAAUGCAAAAUAAAUUUGAAAAGUAAAAAAUGCAAAAAGCUUCGGCCCAAGAAGCUGAGAGCUUACAUUCCUAACGAGGGACAAGCGCUAUCACCCGAGGACCUCCUGAGAUGGCAGGACAAGAACAUCCUCAUCAUCGGCAAACCUGGAGUAGGAAAGACUACAGUUGUCCAGGAAAUGCUGCGUCUUUGGGGAGAGAAGGAUGGAAGAGAGAUAGACUACAUGUUUUACUUUGAUCAAUAAUCAUGUUCUUCUAGAUGUCAUCUUGAAGAAUCAAGAGCUGUUCAGUCUUAGUCAUGUCCCAUUGUAUGCAUUCAUGAUUGUAGACUUGAUUAAGUUUAAAAAUGACACUGUAUGCAACCAUCCACACACAGUCACUGAAAUGUACAUCCACAUUUUCCGUCUUGCUGUAAAGAAACAUGGGAAUAAACAAAAUAAGCAAAUGGAUAUGUAUCUAAAAGAGAAGAAAGAUCAGAUUGAUCCCUUGAUGGAAAAUGCUUUCAGUGCAACUAAGCAGAAGUGCCUGAACCUUCCACAUAUUAGCAGUGAUGAGACAGACAUUUGUCAUGCUUUUCUGAAAAUGAUCACAACAACAGACUCGCCAACAUCUGCAACAACAUACUGUGCGUUUCUCCACAACACAAUGCAGGAAUUCUUCUCGGCUUUGUGGCUUCUUGGACAUCCAGAUGAAAUUGAGGAAGUCCUACAGCUCUGUCAGACCGAGGAGCAUAAACACAUGAGACAUGUUCUUCCUUUCUUAUGUGGACUUCUGAGUGAACACAACACCAGACUCCUCAAGUGUCUCUUCCCAGAGGAUCAGAUAAAGAAAACAUCUGACUGGUUCAUUGAGAAGCUUUUGGACACGUUUCUUCAACCUCAGAGUGAGAGUGAAGAGUUUGAUCUUCUCUAUGUGUGUCAGUGCUUGUAUGAGCUCCAGUCUCCUAAAGCCUGUUUAAUUUUCUUGGAGAAGAUGAACCAUCAGCUUGAACCAGAAGUGGAUCUUGAUCCUCAUCAGUGUUGUGCUCUGUCUUACGUGAUCAGUCAAUCCAGAGAUAAAGAGGUUUAUCUGAAUCUGGACAACUGUACCGUAGCUGAUGUAGGAAUGGACAUGAUGCUUAGCUGCUCACCAAACAUCAGGUUAAAGACUUGUAAAGAACCACUGAAGCAAACCACGUUCUUUGUAGAAUUCUUCCAUAAAUCAUCUCAGUGUGACUGCAAACUUUUUGAGGUGAGAGGACGAUACAAGCCAGAAACAUUCAAUGCUCUGCUGGAUCUGUACUCUCAUGUGAAGAACUAUGAGACUCAAACAGGCAGGAGUUAUCUUCCAGCAUUACAGUCAGUUUUCCAGUCACCUGAUGAAUGGAUCAUAGAUCUCUCAGAGAGAAAGAGCUCGGUCCUCCUGGAAGUGCUGAAGCUCCAGACAGAGAAGAAAACAGUAGAGCUGAGAAGAUGUUCAGAGGAAGAGAGUGAAGUGAUGAGUUUCCUUCAGUGUCUGCCACACAUCUCACAGCUGAGGUUCUGGGAUAUUGAUUAUGAAGAAAGGAUGUCUGCAGAAAGAUUUCUGCUGGAUCUCUGUGUUGCUGCAGUAGAAACUGACAGAAAUACAGGAACAAGAUUCUCCACUCUGCUCUCAUCUGUGUGCAGCUACAAAACCUUCCCUUUUAAUUAUGAUGGUGAUAAUCAGAGUGAUUUUCUGCUGGAUCUGUGCUCUCAUGUGAAGAACUAUGAGACUCAAACAGGCAGGAGUUAUCUUCCAGUAUUACAGUCAGUUUUCCAGUUACCUGAUGAAUGGAUCAUAGAUCUCUCAGAGAGAAAGAUCUCCGUCCUCCUGGAAGUGCUGAAGCUCCAGACAGAGAAGAAAACAGUAGAGCUGAGAAGCUGUUCAGAGGAAGAGAGUGAAGUGAUGAGUUUCCUUCAGUGUCUGCAACACAUCUCUCAGCUGAGGUUCUGGUUCAUUUAUAAAGAAUCAAGGAUGUCUGCAGUAAGAUUUCUGCUGAAUCUCUGUGUUGCUGCAGUAGAAACUGACAGACAUACAGGAACAAGAUUCUCCACUCUGCUCUCAUCUGUGUGCAGCUACAAAACCUUCCCUUUUAAUAAAGAUGGUGAUGUUCAGAUUGAUUUCCUGCUGGACCUGUACUCUCAUGUGAAGAACUAUGAGACUCAAACAGGCAGGAGUUAUCUUCCAGCAUUACAGUCAGCUUUCCAGUCACCUGAUGAAUGGAUCAUAGAUCUCUCAGAGAGAAAGAGCUCUGUCCUCCUGGAAGUGCUGAAGCUCCAGACAGAGAAGAAAACAGUAGAGCUGAGAGGAUGUUCAGAGGAAGAGAGUGAAGUGAUGAGUUUCCUUCAGUGUCUGCCACACAUCUCACAGCUGAGACUGCCCAAAGAGACUGUCCAGAAACUUGCUGAAUGUGUCUGUGAAGCUCAGGAAGAGGAACUGACUCGAUGCUUCCUGCAGAAAGUGAGCGGGGAUCUGACUUCCUGUUCCUUGAGCUGGGAACAGCUUCAUUAUUUCCUGCAGCAAAGAAUUCAACAAAUCACUGUGGACUUCAGAAAGAGCAACAUUCAAUGCCGAAUCAGUGAAAUUCUGCCAUUCCUGAACAGGAUUCAGUUUAAACGGAUGAGCUCUAGUUUCAUGCUGUGUGCAAUCAGAGAGAUCUACGAGUCCGGCUCUGCUGGGUUUGUGUCCGGUCUGUUGAGUUCAGUGGAGAACUACAUUAACCUGCAGAGCAGAGAGCUGGACUCUGUUCACUGUGAAGCCCUGCGCUUCACACUGCAACACUGCACUGCAGCUUCACUCAACCUGCUCUGGACCUCCAUACCAGAGGAAGAGCUGCAGAGCAUUCUGCCUCUCUUCACGCAUCUCUCCCACCUCAGUGUUGACAGACUGCUGUUGCUGAAGAUGCUUCACUGCUGCAGUGUCUCUGAUGUCCAGCAGGAGGCAGCAUCAGUUCUGCUCUCGAUCCUGCAGCACAAGCUGGACUUCUCCUGCCGGUCUGCUUUGGAUCUGACAACAAACACAGACUCAGAGCCUCUACAUCUGACCGCUGACGACUGCCGUGUGACGUCCAGAUUUAUUCAGAGAGCUCACUCAGACACAAAGACACGGCUGAUUCUGCAGGACUGUGAGAUUCAUACAGCUGGAAUGGAUCAGCUGUUCCCAGUGUUACGUUCUGUUCAGCUCUGUUGUGAUAAACCUCUGCUUCUUCAGUUUCUGGCUCACGUGAGGCCUGAGGAAGCCCAGUCUCUCUCUGGAGCUCUGGGUGAAGAGCUGGAUCUCAGUCAGACUCAGCUGGAUCUGCAGGUCUGGAGAGGUCUGGAGCUGAUUCUGGAAUAUUCUGAAGGACUGACAGAACUGGAUCUGAGUCAGUGCAGUCUCACCGAUCACAGCCUGGAUCUGCUGCUCCCAAACCUCCACAAA
ensembl:lncRNA